GAUUUCUUUUCUUAAUUAAAUAUUGGCCGAAGGUUCUUAUGCGAUAAAGCUGAAGAAAAAUAUCAUAUCAGAUGUGGGACGAUCAUUUUUCUGAGAAAAGAACUUGAGAUUAACAUGAACGUAAUAAUUGUCAGGCUUUACUUCUGGAAUACAUCUUUGCAUAAACUAAAGCAUCCUCAUUGUCCAAGUAAUUAUCCCAGUGAACAAGCUAAAUAUCAUGGACAUCCUUGCCGCCGCCUACUGCUCGUAUUUACUGAUAAGACUAUGUUCUCAUUCAGGUUGGUUGCAAGCUAUCUAAUGAAUUUUGUAUGCUUUGAGUUUGCGAUU
rnacentral:lncRNA from 1 species